CUAUCCAUGAGCAGGUUGAAGCGAAAGUAAAAUUUCGUGGAGGACCGAACCCACGUACGUUGAAAAGUGCGGGGAUGACUUGUGGAUAGCGGUGAAAUUCCAAUCGAGCCUGGAGAUAGCUGGUUCUCCCCGAAAUAGCUUUAGGGCUAGCCUCAAGAUUAGAGAAGCGGAGGUAGAGCACUGAAUGUCCUAGGGGGUAUUGCACUUACCGAAGACUAUCAAACUCCGAAUGCCGUUUUCUUUUACUUGGGAGUCAGACUGUGGGUGAUAAGAUUCAUAGUCAAAAGGGCAACAGCCCAGAUCGUCAGCUAAGGUCCCUAAAUGUACGUUAAGUGGUAAAGGAUGUGGAAUUGCACAGACAACCAGGAUGUUGGCUUAGAAGCAGCCACUCAUUUAAAGAGUGCGUAAUAGCUCACUGGUCGAGUGAUUCUGCGCCGAAAAUUUCCGGGGCUAAAACUUACUACCGAAGCUACGGCAUCAUUAUGAUGGGUAGGGGAGCUUUCUAUACGGGUUGAAGCAUGACCGUAAGGACAUGUGGACUGUAUAGAAGUGAGAAUGUUGGCAUGAGUAGCGAGAUGUGGGUGAGAAUCCCACAGGCCGUAAACCCAAGGUUUCCAGGGGAAGGUUCGUCCGCCCUGGGUUAGUCAGGACCUAAGCCGAGGCCGAAAGGCGUAGGUGAUGGACAACAGGUUGAUAUUCCUGUACCACCAAUAACCGUUUGAGAAAUGGGAUGACACAGUAGGAUAAGCUAACCGCACUGUUGGUUAUGUGCGGGCAAGUAUUGAGGCAGUUCCGAUAGGCAAAUCCGUCGGAAUAAUGCUGGGGUACGAUGCGGAGCGAAAUUAAGUAGCGAAGUAGCUGAUUUCACACUGUCGAGAAAAGUCUCUAUCGAGGUUAAAGGUGCCUGUACCGCAAACCGACACAGGUGGGUGAGGAGAGUAUCCUAAGGCCAGCGAGAGAACUGUUGUUAAGGAACUCGGCAAAAUGACCCCGUAACUUAGGGAGAAGGGGUGCCUUCGAAAGAAGGCCGCAGAGAAUAGGCCCAAGCGACUGUUUACCAAAAACAUAGGUUUCUGCUAAGUCGCAAGACGAUGUAUAGGAGCUGACGCCUGCCCGGUGCUGGAAGGUUAAGGGGAUCUGUUAGAGCAAUCGAAGCAGUGAACUUAAGCCCCAGUAAACGGCGGCCGUAACUAUAACGGUCCUAAGGUAGCGAAAUUCCUUGUCGGGUAAGUUCCGACCCGCACGAAAGGCGUAACGAUUUGGGCACUGUCUCAACAACAGACUCGGUGAAAUUGUAAUACCGGUGAAGAUGCCGGUUACCUGCGACAGGACGGAAAGACCCCAUGGAGCUUUACUGUAGCUUGACAUUGAGUCUCGGUGCUACAUGUACAGGAUAGGUGGGAGACUAUGAAGCAUGGACGUCAGUCUGUGUGGAGUCAUCCUUGGGAUACCACCCUUGUAGUACUGGGAUUCUAACCAGAGGCCAUGAAUCUGGUCUUGGGACACUGUCAGGUGGACAGUUUGACUGGGGCGGUCGCCUCCCAAAAAGUAACGGAGGCGCUCAAAGGUUCUCUCAGUACGGUCGGAAAUCGUACGAAGAGUGUAAAGGCAAAAGAGAGCUUGAUUGCAAGACAUACAGGUCGAGCAAGGACGAAAGUCGGACUUAGUGAUCCGGUGGUACCGCAUGGAAGGGCCAUCGCUCAACGGAUAAAAGCUACCCUGGGGAUAACAGGCUGAUCUCCCCCAAGAGUCCACAUCGACGGGGAGGUUUGGCACCUCGAUGUCGGCUCAUCACAUCCUGGGGCUGUAGUAGGUCCCAAGGGUUGGGCUGUUCGCCCAUUAAAGUGGUACGCGAGCUGGGUUCAGAACGUCGUGAGACAGUUCGGUCCCUAUCCGUCGCAGGCGUAGGAAAUUUGAGGAGACCUGUCCUUAGUACGAGAGGACCGGGAUGGACGUACCGCUGGUGUACCAGUUGUUCUGCCAAGGGCAUGGCUGGGUAGCUAAGUACGGAAAGGAUAAGCGCUGAAAGCAUCUAAGCGCGAAGCCCACUUCAAGAUAAGAUUUCCCACCGCAAGGUUAAGAUCCCAGGAAGACUACCUGGUUGAUAGGUCAGAGGUGUAAGUGUAGUAAUAUAUUUAGCUUACUGAUACUAAUAGAUCGAGGACUUGACCAA
rnacentral:rRNA from 1 species